GAUGAAGAACGCAGCGAAAUGCGAUACGUAAUGUGAAUUGUAGAAUUCAGUGAAUCAUCGAGUCUUUGAACGCACAUUGCGCCCCCUGGUAUUCCGGGGGGCAUGCCUGUCCGAGCGUCAUUGCUGCCCUCAAGCACGGCUUGUGUGUUGGGCCUCCGUCCUCCUCCCGGGGGACGGGCCCGAAAGGCAGCGGCGGCACCGCGUCUGGUCCUCGAGCGUAUGGGGCUUCGUCACCCGCUCUUGUAGGCCCGGCCGGCGCUUGCCGACACAUCAAUCUUUUUUCCAGGUUGACCUCGGAUCAGGUAGGGAUACCCGCUGAACUUAAGCAUAUCAAUAAGCGGAGGA
rnacentral:misc_RNA from 1 species